GCAACUCGCCUACAUGAAGUUGGAAUCGCUAGUAAUCGCGAAUCAGAAUGUCGCGGUGAAUACGUUCCCGGGGUCUUGUACACACCGCCCGUCACACCACGAGAGUUUACAACACCCGAAGUCAGUGGCCUAACCGCAAGGAGGGGAGCUGCCUAAGGUGGGGGUAGAUGAUUGGGGGUGAAGUCGUAACAAGGUACC
rnacentral:rRNA from 1 species